rnacentral:rRNA from 1 species
UACGUAGGGGGCAAGCGUUACCCGGAUUUACUGGGCGUAAAGCGCGUGUAGGCGGCUGGUCAAGUGUGAUGUGAAAUCCCACGGCUCAACCGUGGAACUGCAUUGCAAACUGGCCUGGCUAGAGUGCAGGAGAGGGAAGUGGAAUUCCGGGUGUAGCGGUGAAAUGCGUAGAUAUCCGGAGGAACACCAGUGGCGAAGGCGGCUUCCUGGCCUGUAACUGACGCUGAGACGCGAAAGCGUGGGGAGCGAACCGG